UACGGAGGGUGCGAGCGUUGUCCGGAAUUAUUGGGCGUAAAGAGCUCGUAGGCGGUGUGUCGCGUCGGCCGUGAAAACCUGCAGCUUAACUGUGGGCUUGCGGUCGAUACGGGCAUCACUGGAGUUCGGCAGGGGAGACUGGAAUUCCUGGUGUAGCGGUGAAAUGCGCAGAUAUCAGGAAGAACACCCGUGGCGAAGGCGGCUCUCUGGAACGCAACUGACGCUGAGACGCGAAAGCGUGGGGAGCGAACAGG
rnacentral:rRNA from 1 species